UACGUAGGAGACGAGCGUUGUUCGGAUUUACUGGGCGUAAAGGGCGCGUAGGCGGCCACCGCAAGUCGACUGUGAAAUCUCCGGGCUUAAUCCGGAAAGGUCAGCCGAUACUGCGGGGCUAGAGUGCAGAAGGGGCAACUGGAAUUCUCGGUGUAGCGGUGAAAUGCGUAGAUAUCGAGAGGAACACCUGCGGCGAAGGCGGGUUGCUGGGCUGACACUGACGCUGAGCCGCGAAAGCUAGGGGAGCGAACGGG
rnacentral:rRNA from 1 species